AGUUUGAUCCUGGCUCAGAUUGAACGCUGGCGGAAUGCUUUACACAUGCAAGUCGAACGGCAGCACGGGAGCUUGCUCCUGGUGGCGAGUGGCGAACGGGUGAGUAAUAUAUCGGAACGUAUCCAAUAAUGGGGGAUAACUAGUCGAAAGAUUAGCUAAUACCGCAUACGCCCUGAGGGGGAAAGCUGGGGAUCUUCGGACCUAGCGUUAAUGGAGCGGCCGAUAUCUGAUUAGCUAGUAGGUGAGGUAAAAGCUCACCUAGGCGACGAUCAGUAGCUGGUCUGAGAGGACGACCAGCCACACUGGAACUGAGACACGGUCCAGACUCCUACGGGAGGCAGCAGUGGGGAAUUUUGGACAAUGGGCGCAAGCCUGAUCCAGCCAUUCCGCGUGAGUGAAGAAGGCCUUCGGG
rnacentral:rRNA from 1 species